rnacentral:rRNA from 1 species
UCCCGUAGGUGAACCUGCGGAAGGAUCCAUUA